GACGAACGCUGGCGGCGUGCUUAACACAUGCAAGUCGAACGGAAAGGCCCUGCUUGCAGGGUACUCGAGUGGCGAACGGGUGAGUAACACGUGGGUGAUCUGCCCUGCACUUCGGGAUAAGCCUGGGAAACUGGGUCUAAUACCGGAUCGGAGCCAUUUUUAGUGUGAUGGUUGGAAAGUUUUUUCGGUGUAGGAUGAGCUCGCGGCCUAUCAGCUUGUUGGUGGGGUAAUGGCCUACCAAGGCGGCGACGGGUAGCCGGCCUGAGAGGGUGGACGGCCACAUUGGGACUGAGGGACGGCCCAGACGCCGACUUGAGGCAGCAGUGGGGAAUAUUGCACAAUGGGCGCAAGCCUUAUGCAGCGGCGCUGCGUGGUGGAUGACGGCUUUCGGGUUGUAAACUCCUUUCGCUAGGGACGAAGCUUUUUGUGACGGUACCUAGAUAAGAAGCACCGGCUAACUACGUG
rnacentral:rRNA from 1 species